UACGUAGGUGGCAAGCGUUGUCCGGAAUUACUGGGCGUAAAGCGUGCGCAGGCGGUUUCUUAAGUCAGAUGUGAAAGCCCCGGGCUUAACCUGGGAACUGCAUCUGAUACUGGAUGGCUUGAGUUCGGGAGAGGGAUGCGGAAUUCCAGGUGUAGCGGUGAAAUGCGUAGAUAUCUGGAGGAACACCGGUGGCGAAGGCGGCAUCCUGGACCGACACUGACGCUGAGGAGCGAAAGCCAGGGGAGCAAACGGG
rnacentral:rRNA from 1 species